GAUUGUCAGUGAAGAACGAGUGAUGUUCCAAUGCAUUCUAUGCAACUCACUGAUUGUCACAGGUUCCAAAUUUUCUGUCUCAUAAGUUGGAAGUUUUUUCACGCAAAAGCUGAGUCAAUGGAAGGCUAUAUUUAAGCCACCAAAAGCAAUGCGAGGAGGAAUCCCCAUUUGUUUCCCGCAGUUUGGAAACAGUGGAUCACUGGAGCAACAUGGGUUUGCAAGGAACAAGAUUUGGACCAUUGAUGAUGAUCCUCCACCUCUUCAUCCUGCUGAGUACAUUGGCAAAUCUUCUCUAGACUUGCUACUAAUACCAUCUGAAGAGGAUCUGAAGUGUUGGCCCCACUGGUAUGGACCCAGUACCUAUAGACAGUUGGGCUGUUGUUGUUAUUGUCUUUAGAACAUUUGGGUAGUAUUGGACUUGCAAUAAUUGAAACUUGAUCGGGUCAUUGGAAUUUGGAACUCUUUUGUAGGGCAUGUUUGCAUGCGGGUGGCACUAAUCAAAUCAGAUAAGUUUAGCCUGAUGUAUUUUGUUUUCUAUGGGGAGACGAAAUGAAAUGAAUUGAU